rnacentral:pre_miRNA from 1 species
AGAGAGAUAGCUGGGUCAAAUGGUGUAACAUUCCCAAUUUUUUAAAGAAAUUUCCAUACUGCUUUCCAUAUUGGCUGCACCAAUUUGCAGUUCCACCAGCAAU